UGGGUAACCUGCCUCAAAGAGGGGAAUAGCCUCCCGAAAGGGAGAUUAAUACCGCAUAAUAUGUUUUAGUCGCAUGACUUAAACAUCAAAGGAUUUUCUUUUAGAAAUUCCACUUUGAGAUGGACCCGCGGUGCAUUAGCUAGUUGGUGAGGUAACGGCUCACCAAGGCAACGAUGCGUAGCCGACCUGAGAGGGUGAUCGGCCACAUUGGAACUGAGAGACGGUCCAGACUCCGUAGGGAGG
rnacentral:rRNA from 1 species